rnacentral:rRNA from 1 species
UUGACGGGACCCGCACAAGCGGUGGAUGAUGUGGAUUAAUUCGAUGCAACGCGAAAACCUUACCUACCCUUGACAUGUCUGGAACCUUGCUGAGAGGCGAGGGUGCCUUCGGGAGCCAGAACACAGGUGCUGCAUGGCUGUCGUCAGCUCGUGUCGUGAGAUGUUGGGUUAAGUCCCGCAACGAGCGCAACCCUUGUCAUUAGUUGCCAUCAUUUAGUUGGGCACUCUAAUGAGACUGCCGGUGACAAACCGGAGGAAGGUGGGGAUGACGUCAAGUCCUCAUGGCCCUUAUGUCCAGGGCUACACACGUGCUACAAUGGCCGGUACAAAGGGGCGCAAGACCGCGAGGUGGAGCAAAUCCCAAAAAACCGGUCUCAGUUCGGAUUGGAAUCUGCAACUCGACUCCAUGAAGUUGGAAUCGCUAGUAAUCGCGUAUCAGCAUGACGCGGUGAAUACGUUCCCGGGCCUU